rnacentral:snRNA from 1 species
AGCUUUGCGCAGUGGCAGUAUCGUAGCCAAUGAGGUUUAUCCGAGGCGCGAUUAUUGCUAAUUGAAGAUUGAGAUACAUAAUUUUAUCUCCCCAGUUUAAUUAUAUGAAGGAAGUUAUGCAAAUGUAAGUCA